CUGCAACGUGGGUUUCUGAGCAGCCAAUUAAAUCAGUAUGAAAUUACUUUUUUGCCCAUGAUCAUGUCCAGGCGAAACAUCUCUGCGUCCCUGUUAAACCCCUGUUUGUUAUGUAUUGAUAUGAUCCUCUCUCAAACUCCUUCACCUCCCCUUUCUACUUCUCUCGCUCUUUUAUACAGAUUUGCGGCUUCUCGGCACCAGACGUCUCCAUACAAAUUGCAGUUACGAUUAUCAAUAUUUUGAUACAUAGCUUUUUAAUUAUUCGUUCCAUGCUCGUGCGUUGAAGACUCUAGCGUCUGAUCCGGAUUCGAGGAAAGAAACAGGUUGCCGAACGAACAAUUACAGAUUUUUUUGCGGUAUUGGUCCUCUAUAACAGGCCUAUGUUCAGCAACUCCAAACAAGUCGUCCAAGGUUGGCACAACCGGUGCUGGAACUUGAUAGAACUAAACAGGUUAGAUCAUUUUGGUUGUAGAACGAGUGUUUAUAUUCACAUAGGCAUGUCUGUCUAUUGCUGGUGAAAAUGUAUGAUUUCCACGUAAGCGUCUCUUGCUAUGGAUUGGAGGAUUCAAGCCAGGGGCGGAGGGACUAAAUGCCGAGGGUAUGCCCGGCCUACCCUCAAAUUCUGGUGAAAAGGAUUCCCCCCAUUAUGGUCAUAUAACAUGUACACUACUGGCCUACUUUAUUUCUUUGUUAAUUUGCUUUUAAUGUGAAUUAAAUAUUUUCGAAAUAUUAUUAUAUUAUGGAAGUAUUUCAUGAUUGCUAAGUGUCUCAGACGUUAGUAUACCUUUUCUACUUGAUAGGUGUUCUGUAUUCUUUUUAUUUAGUUUUCGUAUUGCUUCUCUAAUGCAGAUUAGUUUGCUUAAUUUUUUUUUUGUUAUAUAUACACAUGUUUAUGAUAUUAGGAACAAAAAAUACAUAUUAUAUCUACUUUUUAAAAUAGUGGAUACAUUUAAAUUAAUUAUAAUAUGUAUAAGUAAAGUCAUUAUAUAUUUAUACAAUCUAGCCAUAAUAUUCUAUUAUUAUAUAUAUAUCUUCUAAGACGGUUAUUGUUUAUGUUUUUAAAAAAGAAAUUGGCACUCCCUAGCUUUUGAACCUGCCUCCACCCUGAUUCAAACCAUCUAAGAUUAUUUAAGUAAAUAUUAUAUAUCCAAUUGUUGUUCUCUGUCAUGAGCAUGCAUGCUGGAUUCUUUCUUUUAAGCUUGAAUGUACAUGUACUGAUUCCAUAUUUAGUAACUUGCCAUCAUCUUUUGUAGCUGAAAUGAACAGGAAACAGAAAUGGGAAUAGAUAGCACCUCGAUAACGUAUGAAGUAGAAUUGCUCACACGUUCAUAUUAGUGAAUGAUUUGCUAUUACAAAUAUUUCUGUUUGGUCCCUCAAUUCUGUAGUGGAUUAUUUAACAUGUGGUUUGACAUAUCUUUUUGCCAUUCUAUAUUUUUUGGCACGUGUAUCGUUUCAUAAAAUCGCAGCUGUGUGAGGAUUUUAUUCACUGCAGAUUUUAGUACCCCAACUUGAGCCAUUGAUUGAACAACUUGUAAGGGUGAAUAAGAUGCGCCAUUCAUGCCAGCAAGCUGAGGAUGCAUUGUUACAAGGAAUAAAAAAACUUGAGCAGACCCUAGCUUAAUGUGUUGCACAUGAUAACAUAGGCAGGGGAAGUUAUGGUUCUCGGAUGGGCACACAAUGGAGAGGCCAGAAACUUUAGAGUGCUUGAACCAGGCAGAUCAUCUUCAACAGUAAACACUGCAACAGAUGAUUCGUAAUCUUGACCACUAGCCAAGCAGCUGUGAAUUGCUUGCAUUUGGGGAAUACUUUCGUGCAUUUAAAUUCUCUCUCGGCAGUUCAUCCUCAUUUAAAAGUUUUAUUUCCCUACUCCCAUUAGUAUCCCUAACUCAAUCAAGCUAGAAAACAAAGUGUGUACAACUGUUGGCUUUUCUAUAUAUGGUCGCUUUAUUGAUUAUUCUUGCUGUUUUGAGCCCUUGGUUUCGCAAGUGUAUGCAUGAUAUUUGAACUUGAAUUAGUAUUGGUACAUCUCAUAUUCCCGAUUUUAGAAGUUCGUACUUGGUCAGAGUCCAAUCAACACUGCCUAUCACUGCCUGAAUCAAACUCUUUAAAAUGCCAGGAAGAAAUUUGAUUUUUGCUAUAAACUAUGAAUAUUCAGAAGAUUUGACUUGUACAUUAUGAUCAAUUUAAGGUUUAUGGUAGUUUGUUCAUUUUUGGUAUUAAUGGCUUUUUUAGUUAAUUUGAGUUGCUAUAUGGUUUAUUUUUUUAGGAAUUUACAUAGGUCAUUUUUAUUAAUUCUAUUUGUGGAUUUAUUUUGGAAAAUUGCAUGUAAAUGGUAGAAAAUUAUUAUAUAUUAGGCUAAACAAAAAUACUCUGAUUGCGCUUCCAAAAAUGUUAUUUAAGUAAUAAUUUCUAUUGAAGCACUAUGUAAGUUUUGUGUUGCAUUUGAAAAAAGCUUACUUACAUAGCACUUGCGGGAACGCUAUUGAAGUACGCUACUAACAUAGCGCUUACACAAGUGUUAUAUAAGUACAUUUUACUUGCAUAGUGCUGGCUUAGAUAACACUUAGAAACGCUAUGUAAGCUUAAAAAUAAGCGCUAUGUAAGUUAAAAUCUGUAGUAAUGUAUGUUACAGUCAAUGAGAAGUCAGGGAGAACUUUGUUUUAUUGGUUGACUGAAGCUGUUGAUGAUCAUGCUGACAAGCCUCUUGUUCUCUGGCUCAAUGGAGGUUUUUCUUGAUACCAUUCAAUUUAUAGGUUUUGGGUUUGAUUUCUUCUGGCUUGUCUUUGUGUUAUUGCUCUUGGAGAGUGUGUUGAUUGGUUUCGAACCUGUUACUCUCGAUGUUCAGAAUAAUGUGGAUGGUAGGAUUGAUAUUGCCUUGAAAAUUGUAUCUGUAAUCCUGGAAGACGACGUUUGUUUUUUGACAAUGGUGUAAUCCUAAUUUAAAUAAAUGUGUUAAAUAUUAAUCAGGUGAUGUUUUUUCAGGCCCUGGGUGUUAUCGAUUACUUUUGGCAUGGCCGCGAAGAUGGGACCUUUCCAUGUUAAUAAAGAUGGGAAGACUCUCUAUUCUAAUCCAUUCUCUUGGAAUCAAGGUAAGUUUUAGCCCUUAAAAUAUAAUAGUUUUUUUAAUUUAAACACCCUCUUAUUUUGGUAAUAUGCUACACAUCUGCUGAGCUGAAUUGCAAGAUAUUUUGUACAAAACUUUUGAAUAUACUCGGCGGCAAUAGAAAUGGUUGUGCUGAAUUGAUGAUCUCCUCAAGGCAACCCCAUGUACAUAAUCUAACAUUAUAUUGACCUUUGAGUUCAGGAUAUCAGGUUCGUAAAAAAUUUGAGAGACCAGCAACUUAACUUGGGCUGGCACUUGUGUAUUAUAGAAUGUACAACAUAAUGUAACAUGAAGGAAAAGGACAACAAGUUUUAUUUUUAACUCAUUUCAGUGCAGCCUAUAUUCUGUACAUAAUACUGCAACAGGAGUUUGGUGAUCCAAAAAAUUCGGUUUAGUCUUUUACACCUCCAUCUCCUUCUUCAUAUGUGUGUUUUUUGGGUGCAGCCAAGGCUCAGAAUCAAUAUGCACCAAUAACUUCUUCUCCACAGCUAUAGUGGUUCUGAGCCAUUUUAUUCCAUGUCAGCGCCACAUCAUUGCCUUGUCAGAUAGGUUAUACACAUAAUUCACGCCUCUCUGUCCCCCUCACAGUAACUCCUUCGCUUGGUUCUUAACCCAUGAAUGUUGUCGCUCUACGUUAUCUAUUUUAGGUCUACUCGCCUAAAUCCUUUCGCUGACCUGAUAUAUCUUUCGUCUCUAGCACAUAUAGAGUUGUAAGGUGUCGAGUUCAAAGCACAAAGGAGGCCACAAGGCUGUUGUUGACACCAUCCAGAUGCUGCAGCCCAGACAACUUGUCAGAUUGCAAAUGAUAAGCUGGUGUUAGCUUCACUUGAGCUCAUGACCUUGCAUAAAAGACUUGCAUCUAGGAUGAGGUACAUCAAAUAUCUUGCAGUCCAAGAAGUUGAAAGGAUCUUAUGUCAUGUUGCAAGCGAAAAAGUUUGGAAUUUGCUUCAGAAAAUAUUCACUUCUAAGUUAUAAUCAACAAUAUGGCUUUUUCACCAAAAAAUUGUGCAAGUUACCUCCUACCCAAAUUCAAAAAUUAUGUCCAUGCACCCAAUGGUGGAAGUACUCAUGUGCUGAUAUGUGCAAGCUCGAGAAGAUUUUGAAAUUUAGUGUACUACGCAUAUAUUAUAUUUUUAGAGUUAAAAGAUGUGACAAGCCUGAUUAAGUAUAAUUCGGCCAUACAGAAUUGCAAACUAAAAUUAUGUUAUGUUAUGAAAAUUCUAAGACUCAUCUUCUUAGCAAGUUGAAGAUAAA